rnacentral:piRNA from 1 species
UGGGAUGAUACUGGCGGAACGCAGGAC